CAAAUAAUGAAAUUAUUAAGAGCGAAGAAGAUUGUACCCUAAUAUAAAUAUUUCAACCUUUAUUUCUGGCAGCUCAAAUCUAAAAAAAACACGAAGGAGCUGAAACAAUUACUACCAGAGGCGCAUCCGAGGAAAAUAUUGGUGAAUUUCGAACAGGCACCGAUAAAUUCGUUUAGAGCUGGGUAUCCACUCGCAGAUAUCCUUGGAUGUUAUUUUCAUCUAAAACAGAGCGUUAAUAGAAAAAUAAACGAUUUGGGAUUAAAAGAGAUGUAUGAGUCGAAUGACGACUUUUGAUUGUAUAGUAGGUGUUUAUCGGCUCUUGCAUAUGUCCCAGAGGAUGAUGUUGGAAUCUCAUUUGAUACUUUGGCAGAAAUAUUUGGUGAAUUGAAUGGCUCAUCUGAGCUAAUUUCCUACUUUGAGAAGACCUAUAUCCGAGGACGUAGAAAUCCCAGGCAACGAAAUAACUUUGCAGCGCCUAAGACUAUGGAAUAAACACAAUUCCACGUUAGAAGGUGUCGCCCGAACAACAAAUUGUGUUGAAGGGUGACACUAUGGAAUUCAAUCCCUAUACCAAUGUUCUCAUCCAACACUAUGGAAAUUUUUAGAUGGGAUACAAAAAGAUAUGCAGAAACAUAAAGCUCUAUAUCUUCAAGUCGUGAUGGGAACAACACCGUACUUAUCAAAGAAAUAUGAAGAUAUAAAAAGACGAAUUCAGAUUUGUGUUUCAAAUUACGGAUUGUCGGAUUCUUUAAUAUUUUUAAAAGCUAUUGCCCAUAUUUCGUGCAAUUAAAUAUAUUAUAAAUAAUUUAUAUUUUUUA